rnacentral:rRNA from 1 species
GAUGAACGCUGGCGGCGUGCCUAAUACAUGCAAGUCGAGCGAAUGGAUUAAGAGCUUGCUCUUAUGAAGUUAGCGGCGGACGGGUGAGUAACACGUGGGUAACCUGCCCAUAAGACUGGGAUAACUCCGGGAAACCGGGGCUAAUACCGGAUAACAUUUUGAACCGCAUGGUUCGAAAUUGAAAGUCGGCUUCGGCUGUCACUUAUGGAUGGACCCGCGUCGCAUUAGCUAGUUGGUGAGGUAACGGCUCACGAAGGCAACGAUGCGUAGCCGACGUGAGAGGGUGAUCGGCCACACUGGGACCUAGACACGGCCCAGACUCCUACGGGAGGCAGCAGUAGGGAAUCUUCCGCAAUGGACGAAAGUCUGACGGAGCAACGCCGCGUGAGUGAUGAAGGCUUUCGGGUCGUAAAACUCUGUUGUUAGGGAAGAACAAGUGCUAGUUGAAUAAGCUGGCACCUUGACGGUACCUAACCAGAAGGCCACGGCUAACUACGUGCCAGCCGCCGCAGUAA